rnacentral:rRNA from 1 species
GAUGAACGCUGGCGGCGUGCCUAAUACAUGCAAGUCGAGCGAACAGACGAGGAGCUUGCUCCUCUGACGUUAGCGGCGGACGGGUGAGUAACACGUGGAUAACCUACCUAUAAGACUGGGAUAACUUCGGGAAACCGGAGCUAAUACCGGAUAAUAUAUUGAACCGCAUGGUUCAAUAGUGAAAGACGGUUUUGCUGUCACUUAUAGAUGGAUCCGCGCCGCAUUAGCUAGUUGGUAAGGUAACGGCUUACCAAGGCGACGAUGCGUAGCCGACCUGAGAGGGUGAUCGGCCACACUGGAACUGAGACACGGUCCAGACUCCUAUGGGAGGCAGCAGUAGGGAAUCUUCCGCAAUGGGCGAAAGCCUGACGGAGCAACGCCGCGUGAGUGAUGAAGGUCUUCGGAUCGUAAAACUCUGUUAUUAGGGAAGAACAAAUGUGUAAAUAACUAUGCACGUCUUGACGGUACCUAAUCAGAAAGCCACGGCUAACUACGUG